UCAAGAGACAUAUGAGGUGUGAUGUACAGUCUUAACACGUGAGUGGUGAACAUGGUCAGAGAGAAACUGGAGUGUUUAGAAUCACAGAACUGUGGGAAGGAGACAAGGAACUGAAGGGUCCUGCAGAGAGCACCUGGUCCUCUCCACAGCCUCUUUUGAGAUGUUCAUCUAACCUGUUCUUAUAAACCUUUGAUCACAGAAUCUCUGCAGUCUCCCCAGGCUCUAACACUGUGAGAAAACCUGAAUUUAAAACCAUGCCUACCGGACUCAGACAUGUGCAAUAUAGGCAACUGAUUACCUGAGCACAGCUGAAUGCUUCUGUCAGCAAAUGCUUAUCUGUCAUAAAUGAUGGAUCUCAGAGGACACGUUGGGGUUUGAGCCAUUUAUCGACAAUCAGCAGUGGGGAAACAGCAGUAUUCAAUGAACGAGUUGCAUUGUUCUACUGCUGCAAAUGAAGUUGAAGAAUUCAGCACCCAAUUCGCUUACGGUGACUCACCUUAUUUUGGACUUUAAUAUAUUGAAGUGACAAGAAGACCUACCAAUUCUCUGAGAAAUGUGUGAGAUUAUAGUUGUGGGAAUGUUUUUCUAAAAGUUUUUUUUUAGGUUCUAUUUCAUACUUUGUGUUUUCCAAAGUCAUAAAAAUCUGAGCCGUGAUUCAUCUAAAUGCCUCUGAAGACUUCAAAAAUACUUAUUUUGAAGAAGUUGUUAUAAUACUUGUCUA